GAAUUUCAUGUGUGUCCCUCCCAAAGCUGCACACUCGGUGGAAGAGGAUGACCUUCCCCAAUAGAGGAUGACCAUUCUUCAUCAAGGGUAAAUGAGUAGUUGUGCUCCUCUGCUAGAACCUCCAAACGAGGUCUCAUGGAGACAGAUUUUUGCUCAUGGAAUUCAUGUCAUUGGGAUUCAAGAGACUACCUCAAGUG
rnacentral:snRNA from 1 species